GCAACCGGGCUGAGUCCGUCCGUCUAGCGCAGAGACUGCCAACGACGCGGAUCCUCCUGNCCACGGCGACCCACGGGGCUUACGCCCCACGACCCAUGACCUCGGAUCAGGCGGGGAUACCCGCUGAACUUAAGCAUAUCAAUAAGCGGAGGACAAGAAACCAACAGGGAUUGCCCCAGUAACGGCGAGUGAAGCGGCAAGAGCUCAGAUUUGAAAUCUGUCCCCCUUGGGGAUCGACGUGUAGUCUGCAGAGGAUGCUUCGAGGGGUCGCCGGACCCAAGUCCCUUGGAACAGGGCGCCACAGAGGGUGAGAGCCCCGUCUGGGUCCGGCUGUCCGUUCGUGUGAUGCUCCUUCGACGAGUCGAGUUGUUUGGGAAUGCAGCUCCAAGCGGGUGGUAAAUCUCAUCUAAAGCUAAAUACCGGCCAGAGACCGAUAGCGCACAAGUAGAGUGAUCGAAAGAUGAAAAGCACUUUGGAAAGAGAGUCAAACAGCACGUGAAAUCGUUGGGAGGGAAACGCUCGCGACCAGACCUGGCCGCGGCCGAUCGGCUGACGUCCUCGUCGGUCCCCUCGGUCGUGGCCGGGCCAGCAUCGGCCUGAGGGACGGGAAGAAGGCGUCGGGAACGUGGCUCCCUCGGGAGCGUUACAGCCCGACGCGUCACGCCGCCACCUCGGGCCGAGGACCGCGCUUCGGCAAGGAUGCUGGCGUAAUGGUCGUCAGCGACC
rnacentral:rRNA from 1 species